rnacentral:lncRNA from 1 species
AUUCAAAACGUUCACUGGGACUAGCUUUUGUGAACACACAAAUAUCAAUUGGAAUGUAUGAAAUCAUCAUUUAGUUGCACAAUUAAAUAGAUGGGCGAAUUGAACAGGGGAUUGAAUAUAAAAGUGCAUGCCUUCACCCGGAGAAAUAUUAAUUAGGGUGGUGUACAUUGUAAGAACUGCUCAAUACAACUUUCGAAUGAUAUAGCUCCUUUCAUUCCCAAAAGUGGGUCUGUGAGGAU